GCACCUGGCGCGCGCCUCCCCCCGGCUCCUCGGCAUCCGCCCCGGGCGAGCCGGCGGGGUCUAGGGAGCCUGCGCGCCGCGGCUGGGAACCACCCCUCCCGUGAGUCCCCGGCACCCCAGCGGCAGCCGAGCGCGGAGCCGAGGGGCGCGGGCCGCAGUUUUCUCAGGAAAGACUCGGGGUUUCUGUAGCAGUGUCUGCAGGCAGCUCUGCAUCUGGACCCACGUUCACAUCUUCUGUGGAAACACCAAGAACCUUCCCUGACACAUCCCUCCUGCUGACCGCCUCCGCAUGCCGGCUUCAGGCCCCAGUGCAGGUGUCAGACAGACCGCCCGUCUCAGCCUCUUCACCUUGUUGUCAGAGCUGCUCCAGGCCCGUGCUCAAAACCUGUGAACCCACCUUUAACAGGGCUGUCUUCCAACCCCUGCCUUUAGUAGGAGUUAACCUAAGUCUUUAAGGGUCCAGAGAUAAGAAAGGAAGCUGCAAACAAAAAAAAACCAGAUGGAACCAGCUGGGAACAAGAUUGCAAUGAAUCUGACCUCCAGCAGACCCUGAGUCUCAUCAUAUGUUGAAUGUACUAAAUCAGCACAUUAAGUGACACACCUACCCAUGGCCAUGACUGAACAUGAAGGACCGAAAAAGGGGUGAAAAGGAGGUGGCACCCCCACGCCCUUGGGAAAAGCCCUGCCCCUUCCCGGGAAGAGAAACGCGUCAGCCUCCCCAUCAGUGGCCUCGCGCCUCCUCCCGUUUUCUUUACUCUUUAAAAUGAAGUCACUGUCUCCAGGCUGGUGAGAAGUUGACCUGUGAACGUAGUUCCCUCUUCUCCAUUCUUUGGCCACUGGAUAAAGCCUGUGCUGUGUUGGUCUCAGCUGUGGUUUCGUUAUUCACCUAUUUGAACCCGAAUGGAGAAAGGAACCCUUCCCCAUCCAGGUGGAGAGCCGCGGCCAGGCUACGGCCUGAGCAGGGUCCUUACUUGGUAACAGUCUGUAAGGGGACGGUGGUCUCUGCCCGUGGGGUGGGUGGAAGGAACACCUACAGCCGCAGCCACAGCUCCGUGGACAGCACAGCCCCUUGUGGACCUGGACCGUGUGCUCUCGUCCCCCACGUAUGACACCACCUGACACUCACGACGUGGGGACACUGGCUACCGGGCAUCCAGUCAGGAGGGAGCCAGAGGCAGCACCUGGAGCCAGAGCAGACGUGCCUUUUCACGGGCAGUGGGCAGAGCAGAUAUUAGGACUUUGCUUUGUGCCUAGAAAACAAACCACGCCGCGAGAAGCUGGUCUGAGCUGUGGACUUGAAACCCAUGUGCAAGGUGUUGCUGGGCUGCUACCUGCUAAGGAAGAAGCUGUGUUGCCUGUACCUGCUGUUGGAAGUUCUCCCCGGGCAGAGGUUUCCAGUGAGGACGCUCCUUGUUGCAGGCUGCCGGCUGCAUGUGAGAAAGUCCCCACCUCUGACCAACUUCAGAUUUGUUUAUCCCUGUAGCAAGUGUCCUGAUUGGGUUUUCACCUGUGUAACUGGACACUGUCAUUGGAUUGAGGGCCACCCUAACCCAAGAUGAACUCACCUUGAGAUCCUUAACGACGUCUCCGAAGACCCUCUUCCCAGACUGAAAUCAUUCUUCUGCCAGAGAGGCAUAUUUUGAAGUGGCAUAUUCUACUCGCCUUGACAUGAAUGUACCUCCGUUUGCGUAUGCCUUCAUCUAUGGAAGGACAUUCUGAUUUCUUCAAGUUUUUAGCCGUUAUAAGUAGAGCUGCUGUGCAUAACGGCAUCCUUGUUUGCAUUUGGGCACAGAUGUUCACAGCAGCUGCCUAAAUCCUGGAAGCACGGUUGCUGGAUCCCAAGGACUUUCUGAGUGAUUCCACAAACAUUAUAAGAUGUGAGAAUAAUGUAGAUAUUACGUGUCCAUUGGUGGAUGAAUGGAGAAGCAACACGUGGUCCAUCCAUACAAUGGAAUGUCAUUCAGCCUGAAGAGGAAGGCCGUUCUGACGCAGACUGCAGCACAGACGCGCCUUGAGGGCACUAUGCUCCGUGACAGACGCCAGACACGACAGAACAGACAGUGCCUGAUCCACGCGUCCAAGCCCCUCGAGCAGUCAGAGGCACAGGGACAGAAGGAAAUAGUCCAUGAAUGCAGCAAGAUGCACAACCUCACUAAUAACCCAGGGGUUAAAACCAUAAGGAAAAGUGUGUACACCUAGCAGACCGGCAGACAGGAAAGACACAGUGUCAGAUGUCAGCGGGACGUGGAGAGAUGGAAAGCCUUGUACCCAGCAGGGGUGCAACUUUCACUUCUGAAACAGUCUGGCCUCAGAUAGCGACGUCCAUGCACACAGACCCACAGCGCUGCUCCAGGUUACACACAAACCCCCCAGCACUACGCCAGGACACACAGACAUGGACUCUGUGGCACAGGAGCCAAACCUGAAACCCACCUGGAGGCCGUCACAGGUGGAUGCAGACAUGAACCAUGCGCACACAUAUGAGGGAUGUUCCACAGCAGUGGCGUGCGCUUUUGUUGACAGCUGGUAAAAUUAUAAAAAUUAUUAAAAAAAACUAU